rnacentral:rRNA from 1 species
UAGGGAAUCUUCGGCAAUGGGGGGAACCCUGACCGAGCAACGCCGCGUGAGUGAAGAAGGUUUUCGGAUCGUAAAGCUCUGUUGUUAAGGAAGAACGAGUGUGAGAAUGGAAAGUUCAUGCUGUGACGGUACUUAACCAGAAAGGGACGGCUAACUACGUGCCAGCAGCCGCGGUAAUACGUAGGUCCCGAGCGUUGUCCGGAUUUAUUGGGCGUAAAGCGAGCGCAGGCGGUUAGAAAAGUCUGAAGUGGAAGGCAGUGGCUCAACCAUUGUAGGCUUUGGAAACUGUUUAACUUGAGUGCAGAAGGGGAGGGUGGAAUUCCAUGUGUGGCGGUGAAAUGCGUAGGUAUAUGGAGGAACACCGGUGGCGAAAGCGGCUUUCUGGACUGCAACUGACACUGAGGCACGAAAGCGUGGGUAGCAAACAGG